CCGCUCGCCGCGCCAAUCGCGCCCUCGACGCCCAACGCCGCAUGGACGCCGCCGCCCCGACGGACUGCGUCAUCCUCGCCCCCGCCACGCCGGACUGCCUCGUUCCCGCCUCUCCUUCGUCGGUCCUCCCCGCGCCUCGCCGCCCUCUUCUCUUCAACGGGGACCCCGAGACUGCCGGCGACCCCCAGUUCGACUACGGUGUUGAUGACCCCUCCUUCUUGCCAGAGCAACCAGACGAUGGAGUCCAGGAGCCAGACGCCACUGUCGAUGAUGACUACUACUACUCGGGAGGUGCCUACUACUAUGUGCAGCCCGCUGACGACGACCAGGAGUAGUUUUGGAGGAUCCCACGCAGGAGGCAUGCGCCUCUUUUGAUCUGUAUCCCAAUUUGUGCUAGCCUUCUUAAGGCAGACUUGUUUACUUAUGUCUAUACUCAGAUAUUGUUGCUUCCGCUGACUCGUCUAUGAUCGAGCUCUUGUAUUUGAGCCUUCGAGGCCCCUGGCUUGUAAUAUGAUGCUUGUAUGACUUAUUUUAUUUGUAGAGUUGUGUUAUGAUAUCUUCCCGUGAGUCCCUGAUCUUGAUCGUACACGUUUGCGUGUGUGAUUAGUGUACGAUCGAAUCGGGGGCGUCAUAGUACGACUAUAUUCGGAAUACAU
rnacentral:rRNA from 1 species